AAGAAAUAAACGUAAUUUUGCUAAAGGUGAUUGUAGUAAUAUCGUAUAAAAGUUCAUAAUUCAAAGUUUGGUGUAUAAGUGCUAAAAUACUUUCUGCAAAUCGCUCAACCACAAAUAUCGAGUUAUGGUGUCCUCAAUACCAGACAGAUGGCUGAGCUAUAAACCAGUCGGAAAACAGAUCGAGGGAACACGCUUCAUUGCCUUUAAAGUGCCGCUGCGUGAGCGUGUUAACGAAAACGUGGAUGAAGAACACCGACUCGAUGCCAAUAUUUUAUUGAAGACGGUUCCCAAUUUGGGGAUGAUUAUUGAUUUGACGAAUACCACCCGGUAUUAUAAUCCACAUAAUUUCAAAGAUAAGGGUUUAGAGUACAUUAAAUUAAUGAUUCCUGGACAUGAUACGCCCUCACCGCGCAUGAUUAACCAAUUCAAAACUCUGGCGAUGACUUUUUUAAACAAUAACUCUGAUAAUGAUAAACUGAUUGGUGUUCAUUGUACGCAUGGAGUCAAUCGCACUGGGUUCCUAAUAUGUAACUACAUGAUCUCUGAGUUAGAUAUGAAGCCUGAAGAGGCGAUAGACAAAUUCGCUGCUGCGCGUGGCCAUAAAAUCGAGCGCAGAAACUAUUUAGUCUCCCUAAAUCAUUUAAAGAAUGCGAUCAAAAGUGACAACAGUGGCAGUCCGAAAAAUGACUUCAAGGAUGAUUUGAUCGAUAACAACAAGCGAGCCAUACGUUCCAAUCAAACUCACAGCAAAGAGAUUUCAUCUUUACAUUCACCUGCUCCAGAAUCAGCAUUACCGCCCUCAACAGAGGAGUUCGAUAGGCGUGAUCGAUAUGAGCGUUUUCGACAGGAAUCGAAUAUGCAACGUCAGCGUCACACGAGUGCUGCCGUAACUGCAGCCGCACAAUCCGAACAACAAUAUAUGGAUAAUAACUUUAACAGCGCACAGGGCAAUAGCUCGAACUAUAACAGGAGAUAUGUGAAUACUAGUCGUAACUGUUCGCAAGGUGGCGCAAAUUAUCCAUACCAUAAUAAUCAUAACAGCUACGCGAUGCACUCGAAUAAUAGUCAUUCGCGUGCGCCUGAUAGUCGCCGGUAUGAUGAAGAGCCAAGUCGUAGGCGAAAUGAACAUGUACCAAGCAGUAGCGAUCGUUAUAGUGGCGAACGCAGGCACGACAGACAUCGAUCUCAUCCAUAUCGGCGCGUAUAGCAUAUGAUUAGACUAAUAUUUGCUUUAAUUUUUUUAAUUUUGAGUACAUUUAAUAUUUUUUCUCACCUUUACUAAUUAGACAAGUACAAUUGUGGAUGGUAUGUUUCAAUUAUGUUCACUUGCUAAUAUUUGUGCCAAAAUAUUACAAGAUACUGCCUACCGCUCCAAAAUAGUAAAUUUGGUUCUGCUUCCGCAUUUGAACCAUAGCAGUUGGUACAUUUAAUGGUUCCCAGCAAAAUAAUUUGGCUGAAUUCAGUGUCACUCGUUCAGAAAUUUUAAGAAAAAGCAAUUGCUUAGUUUCUAUUCAUACGGCCCAAUAUUAAAUAUUGAGAAUAUAAUUAAAACUUUAAAGUCAGAAAUAUACGAGUAUUCUCAAAAAGCGACAAUGGGCUCAGAGGUGACGAAGUUAUUUAAGUUUUCAUGAAAAUCGCAUUGAAAAGAAACAAAUUGUUUCGGUGGGAACUAGUAAAUGGACUAAAUUGUAUGAUUCACUUAGGAAAAAUAUACCCAAUUCGCGCGGCAGACUACAUACACAUAUGUAUAUAGAUAUGUAUGUUUAUAAAGUGCAUAAAAUGCUGACUAAAUUAUGAAGCUAUAAUUUUUAUCGUAUAAAUGAAUUUUAUUUAACCAUUAAAGAGUAUUGUAUGUCUUUUUUAUUCGCUAUGCCUAGCAAGGGAAUCUUCAAUUUAAUUUUGGGCUUCUAAAAAUGCCAUUUCAUACUUUUUUUUACCUAUUAAAUAUGUAAAAAUUAUAAAUAUCUAGCUUAAAUGACUUUUUGCUAAGAAAUUAAAUACAUUUGAAGAGCUUUAUUAAGUGAUAUACAGAUGCGUGCAACUAAUUAGCAACGAAAUUCAAAACGAUAUUGCUUGCAAAUUAUGUUUAUUU